CAUUCUUAUUCAUCAUUUCUGCAAACAGAUCCUGUAAAAGUUAGGAACUGGUGUUCCUGAUGGCACUACCUUUCUUGCAGGCUUAGAAAAGUUAUCAAAUUUGAAGAAGUUGGAGAUCUUAAACCUUGGGAUGAAUGAUCUGGACAAUAGCAUCCUACCUUCUUUGGGUGCUCUCACUGCUCUCAGAGUUUGUUCCUCAGAGAAACUAAAUUGGAAGGGUCUUCUCCUGCAACAGAGUUAGCUAAUUUAAGGAACUCGGAGAUGUUAGAUCUCAGCUAUUGUUACCUUAAUAGCCAACCGGAAUCCCUACAAAUGGUAGUUAAUGGAGGUGGAAAAGAAGCUGGAGCAAUGAUCUUUUCCAAGCUUUCUCUCAUUUGUUCUUCUUUAUAGAGGAGAGGGGUAUAAUAGUUACUUUCAUGAGCAUCACAAUCUCAUAUAUCUUCUUCAUUAAACACGACAUUUCUAUUAAUGGUGAUAUUUCCAUUAUAAUUGAUCAAAUUGAGUAAUCGAAUGAUCAAGUUAUUCACAAGUGUUACUAGAAGCUCAAUGAGUAUCAAUUGUAUUUCAUUCGAGUAAAACUACAGUCAUUAUCAAUCAUUAAAUAAAACUCAAAAUAAGCAAUAUUCCAUAUUUACUUCUCUUCGUGUGAACUCUCCAUCCUUUUCACCGAUCCUCUAGAAAAUCGGACUCUUAGCCCCUUCUAUAUGACAUCAUACUCUCAAACUUCAUGCUUGGUUUCUAAGAGAACAAAAAAGAGAGAGAAAAAGAGUCUUAACACUCCUUUCAAAAAUGAAUUUGA